GAUGAACGCUGGCGGCGUGCUUAAUACAUGCAAGUCGAACGGAAAGGCGCUGCUCUUGCGUGUUUCUCGUUUGGCGAACGGGUGAGUAUCACGUGAGUAUCCCGCCCUUGUCUUUGGGAUAACUUCAGGGAACUCGGGCUAAUAUCGGGUAGAAUCUCUUGCUGCACGUGGUUGGUUGGAAAGUGUCGGUGUUUGUGUAUGGACUCGCUGCUUAUCAGCUUGUUUGUGUGGUAGUGGCUUCCCAAGGGUUUGACGGGUAGCCGGCCUGGGAGGGUGACCGGCCACAAUGGGCCUGCGAUACGGACCAGACUCCUACGGGAGGCAGCAGUGGAGAGCAUUGCACAGUGGGCGGAAGCCUGAUGCGGAAGCGCCGCGUUCGGGAUACCCGCUUUCGGGUUGUAAACAGCUUUCGCAUGUAACGAAGCGUGCGUGACGGUAAUGGGUAAAGAAGCAACGGCUAACUACGUG
rnacentral:rRNA from 1 species